GGAGGGGUCGCAUAGUCGGCCUAUUGCACCGGCCUCGAAAACCGGAGGGCUUCUUAGCCCCGUGGGUUCGAAUCCCACCCCCUCCG
rnacentral:tRNA from 1 species